rnacentral:rRNA from 1 species
UACGUAGGUGGCAAGCGUUGUCCGGAAUUAUUGGGCGUAAAGCGCGCGCAGGCGGCCUUUUAAGUCUGAUGUGAAAGCCCACGGCUCAACCGUGGAAGGUCAUUGGAAACUGAAAGGCUUGAGUACAGAAGAGGAAAGCGGAAUUCCACGUGUAGCGGUGAAAUGCGUAGAGAUGUGGAGGAACACCAGCGGCGAAGGCGGCAUCCUGGACUGGUCCUGACACUCAUGAGCGAAAGCGUGGGGAGCGAUCCGG